rnacentral:lncRNA from 1 species
GGAAAUGAGAAAAAGGCAUUUUGUGUUACCUUGUCCGCGCGUAGCACUAAUAUUGUCGUUCGUUGACCCUUUCUCGUUGUUCGGCCUGUUUGGCUUAGAGGUCGCCGUGGGAAAGGGCUCUUCCCUUCCAUCCGAUCUCGUCAUGUGGCCGAGCCUCGCCACCGUUUUUAACCCUUGCUGGCGAAGUGGUGGAUGGAGCCUGGCUUUCUUAGGAGCCCGGGCGAAGUCUUUCUUGGGGGCGGAACCCGGCUCCCGUAGGAGUCCGGGUGAAGCUUUACCUGAUGACGGAACCCGGUUCCUGUAGGAGUCCGGGUGAAGCUUUACCUUGGCGGCGGAACCCGGCUCCCGUAGGAGUCCGGGUGAAGCUUUACCUAGGCGGCGGAACCUGGCUCCCGUAGGAGUCCGGGUGAAGCUUUACCUUGGCGGCGGAACCCGGCUCCCGU